GUAACAGCGCAAAAUGGCUGUCUAGACAGAAUAGUUAACUAGGCCUUAACAUUUCUCUUAACCCUGAACAUUCUACCUAGGCCUUAACAGUAUUGAAGUUUCUAAUUAAGCUAAACACACCUUGUCUUUAAAGACUCAGGUUCCUGGGUGUGGGCUAAAAGGGAGAAAAUACUGAGCAUCGAUACUUACAGAGCUUUUGUUGUGAUCAAACUUGGAAACAAACCAGAUGUCCAGUGAUGGGCAAAGGAAUAAACGGUCACACGGUUGCAUGAUUAUUGUUCUGCAUAAUUGCUGUUUCCAGUCUAACACCAGAUGAAGAGUAAUGCAUUGUUAGUGGUGAUGAAAUGAGACUCAGUCUUCUGCAAGGGUUACAUGAGGCAUGGUAACUUUAGAAGAGGAAAAAUAUGCAUCCGUCUCCCAGGAACUACAUUUCCAGUUAUCUCUGGAAAGAAGGUCAGCCUUUGUAACUGUGAAGCAGCCUCCAUUACUACUGAUGUUAAAUCCUUCAAGUCUUGGAGGACAAUCCUAUGUUGGGUAGUCCAGGCAUUUAAUAUCUGUUUCAGGUGAGGUGAGUACAUUUCAUAAGUUAUUAUUGAUUCUUUAAAAUGUUUAAGCUCUUAUAUUUUAAUGGGAUUCCAGAAUUGUCAUUCAUUUUUUGAAUCUUCACCAUUUUAAUUUGCUGCUAGAUAACUGUGAAAGAUAGUUGGGGUGGCAGUAUUUUCUUAGUGUUUAAGAGAUGUCUCUGUAGGUUCAAUGGGUUGUCUAUCUUGAUCCUUAAUUUCAUUAGGUACUUUGUCUCUGGUCUCUAAAACUUUGAAUUAUCAUAGCAAUUUUUUCUUUUUGUACAGCUACUUUUCAACAUCUCUGAGAGGAAGUAUAUGAAGACUGUACUCGAAAGGGUGUGUGUGUGUAUGGUGUGUGUGUAUGUGGUGUGUGUGUGUAUGUGUGUGUGUGUGUGCGCGUGUGCGUGCGCGCAUGUGUGUGUGUGUGUGUGUGUGUGUGUGUGUGUGUGUUGGGUGUUUACUCCAUAUACCUUGACUUUCUAACCUUGGCAGAUCUGAAUAGCUCCUGUGAUUUUUAUCUUUAAAAAAAGCACCUCCUUCUGCAGGGCAAUUUGGACUAGCAAUCAUAAUAAAUUUUACCAAUUUCAAUCCAAAUUGAGGUUGAUGGUCUUUUCUUUGUGACCUGGAAUUCCAAUGAUCUUUUUCUGAUGAUCUUGAACUCCUUAAUAAUAAAAAGGGAGUGUAUCUUCAUGGAAUGGGGGUGAUGAAGAUAAUGGAGGAGGGAGGGAAAAGCAUAUCAUAAUAAAUUCUGUGAAAAAUCUGUUUUCAAUAUAGGAAGACAUACACUGUCCUGAAUAUAGUCCUGAAACACACACACACACACACACACACACACACACACACACACACCCCAUAUAUUACAGUGCUUAGUAAAAUAGACUGAACUUUGCAAAGAAGCAACAGGAAUAUUUCAAAUGGUUUGGAGGGAGGAAAGGAAAGGGAAACUAUAUUUUGUAACCUAAAAGAAAGAAAAGUAAAAAUCAAUAAAUCAUAAAGCAAAAUA